rnacentral:misc_RNA from 1 species
UGGGACAUGGGACAAUAAAUCCCAAUUUGAAAGAGAAGCCUCUUCUUCAAUCAUUGAUUUUACAUUUUGAUGAUAAUUUAUAUGUUCAUAGGGAAGAAACGGCAUCUUGCCUCCAACCUCAUUCUAAUCUUAAAGAGUUAGAAGUGUGGGCAUACAGAGGCUUCAGUUUCCCAAGUUGGGUCUCUUCCCUCACAAAUGCUGUCAUUAUCAGGAUAUUUCAUUGCAGCAAAUGUCAGCAUCUCCCACCAUUGCACCAACUCCCUUCU